AGUCCAUCCUCUAUUCUACUCGCCUUUCAGCUUCUCCAACACUAUACUGUCUCCAGCGAACCACAAUCAAACCAAAACAAACUGCAGAAGAGCGAUUGGGAGUGCUUGCGGUCGGUGAUAGCGAAGGACAUCUCGUGGAACACAUCGUUUUUGGUGAUUUGUGCGUCAGUGUUAUGGCAGGGCACUGCGGAGAAGUCGAGCAUGCCGUUGUGGACGUGGAGUUUAGGGUUUUGGAGUGGAAGAAUUCUAGCCGCGAUAGGGAUUCACCCUUUAGCUUUACACUCUAACAAGUCUUCCUUUCACUUUGAGGACAAGUUCAUGUUCAUAGGUUGAAUCCACAACAACCACCUAACCGUUGCUAGCAACAUUGAGAUCGUUGUGACAAGUGGUGCAAGGUUCGUAGGCACCGCACAUGGUGGAUCGGUUGAUUGCACGAGGGGGCAGUGUGAUCAUGGUGGACAAUUUCUUCAUUGGAAGGAAGCGGGACUUGAUGCACCGCUUUAGAAACUCUAGAUCCGAACAUUUUCCCAACUAACUUAUGAAAUUGUCAAGCAGAACAAUUGGUUGAAUCUAUUUUGAGCAAGGUUGUAGAGGAGUUUGAACAACAAACAGCAACCCAAAGUGAAAAGGUAUGACAAUUUUACCUACUCAUAAUUUCCUUAGUUAUUGGAUAAUCAGCCUGUCUUGUUAUGAGUUUAGUACAUUCCUAGUUGUAUUGGUUCUUACUUAUGUUGACUUUGUUGACAAACUGUUCUUGAUUUUCUUCACUAUCUUGUAACUUCCCAAGCAAAAGUAACUUUGAUUGAUCCUGUUUCUCAAAGCAAUGGGUUUGAUAUGGCAAGUAAAAGGGGAAGAAGAAGAUUCAUGUGGUAACGAAAAAAGAUGGCAUUCAUAAAAGUCAAGUUAAUGCUAUGGAAUAAAAAGAAGAGGAUCACACUCAUAAAAAUCUAGUUGCCGAUGAGGAAUUCCAAAGACAACUUUUGAAGCAGAAAAUGCUCUUUGAUCAGCAGCAAAGAGAAAUUCAACCAAUCAUUGUUGGAGAUGGGAACAAAAUACCUGAAUUUUGUCCAAUUAAACCAAUUAAUUGGGAGUAAAACGGGAGGAAUAUUGGUUGAUCCAUUCACAUCAUCAGUACAAGGCAAGGAAGAUCCAUGUAGUCACAUGGUUGUUCGAGGCAAAGCCAUGGUUGGAUGUGUUGAAGACCUUUAUGACUUGGUUAAUUAUGUUCUUCAAGAUGUCCAAUUUUAUGAUCAACAACGUUUCAAACAAUUUGUCUCCCAUAGUAAAACAAGAAUGGAGAAUUGGUUAAGAGGAAGUGGUCACGAAAUUGCAGCUGCAAAGGAUGGAUGCAAAACUAAAUGCAACAGGUUGGAUGUCAGAAAAGAUGGGAGGUCUUGUGACCUACUGCAAGGGUGCAUUUGAAAAUAUUUCUUUGUUAUUAUAUUUAUUAUUGUCAUAUUAAAUGUUACUAGUAAUAUUCAUUUUAUUUAUUGGAUUUAAAUACUAAUUGAAGUUUAGGAGAAUACAACAAAAUUAUUAUCUCAUUGAUUAAUUGAAGUAAUGAAGGAUGAUAGAAUAUGAAGAGUUGGUAGGAAACUGUCUUGCCAAUUUGAUUGCAGAUCAAACUUAUGGAUGAGGGAAAUAUAAAACAAAAGAUAAGGUUGAGAUAUG